rnacentral:rRNA from 1 species
AGAGUUUGAUCAUGGCUCAGGAUGAACGCUAGCGGGAGGCCUAACACAUGCAAGCCGAGCGGUAUUGUUUCUUCGGAAAUGAGAGAGCGGCGUACGGGUGCGGAACACGUGUGCAACCUGCCUUUAUCUGGGGGAUAGCCUUUCGAAAGGAAGAUUAAUACUCCAUAAUAUAUUGAACGGCAUCGUUUAAUAUUGAAAGCUCCGGCGGAUAGAGAUGGGCACGCGCAAGAUUAGCUAGUUGGUGAGGUAACGGCUCACCAAGGCAAUGAUCUUUAGGGGCCUGAGAGGGUGAUCCCCCACACUGGUACUGAGACACGGACCAGACUCCUACGGGAGGCAGCAGUGAGGAAUAUUGGUCAAUGGGUGCAAGCCUGAACCAGCCAUCCCGCGUGAAGGACGACUGCCCCUAUGGGUUGUAAACUUCUUUUGUAUAGGGAUAAACCUUUCCACGUGUGGAAAGCUGAAGGUACUAUACGAAUAAGCACCGGCUAACUCCGUG